CAGUGUUACAGCUCUUUUAGAAUUUGUCUGGCAGGCUUUCUAGUUUUUUUUUCCAGAAUGUCUCA